rnacentral:rRNA from 1 species
UACGGAGGGUGCAAGCGUUAUCCGGAUUCACUGGGUUUAAAGGGUGCGUAGGUGGGUUGGUAAGUCAGUGGUGAAAUCUCCAGGCUUAACUUGGAAACUGCCAUUGAUACUAUCAAUCUUGAAUACCGUGGAGGUCAGCGGAAUAUGUCAUGUAGUGGUGAAAUGCUUAGAUAUGACAUAGAACACCAAUUGCGAAGGCAGCUGGCUACACGAAUAUUGACACUGAUGCACGAAAGCGUGGGGAGCAAACAGG